GAGGGCCUGCUGAGCCAGAUGCCAGCACUGCCCACCCCAUCAGCGCCUCGCUGUCCUUGGGAGCUUGCUUGUGCCAGCUCGCUGGGAUGGCCUGACACCUCACCUCCACCCGGCCCUCCUUCCCUUCGUUCACGUGGGUCACUCCCGUGCCUGACCAGCCCCCCCCCUCCCACAACUCUCCACCCCGACCAGGCGCUCAUAUCUCACAGCCUCUGCUCCAGCCAUUCCCUCUACCCAGAGUGCCCUUCCCUUCAGUGCUGAGCAAGCCAACUCUCCCAGCAACUUCCCUCUCCUCCCUGGGCUGCCAGAACCUCUUCCAAACUUUCCCAAGACCCUGUGCCUAUCUCCUCAGCACCCGGAGGCCUGGAUCUUCAGUACCUGCCCUGCCCGGGGAGGGGACCCGCCAGUAUCCACAGCUCCCCAUCAAGGCAGGUCAGGACUGCUGUCCCAGGAGUGGCAAGGAGUGCUAUGGGGAUGGGGCAGUGCCAGUUCUGGGGGGCCAUGGAGGGGUCUCUCUGGGGUAGUAUUCCUGCCCACAGGCCUUGUAGGGAGUCUUCCAGAGCCAGGAGAGUCCCCUGACCUCCCGCCACCAGGGCUGGCUGAGACCCACCUCUGCUUCUAGUCGCACCCCACCCAGCUCAGGCGCCAUUUACACCCAAGCUCUUCUCCCCACCCCAGCUUCCGGAACUCUCUAUUUGCAGAUAUUGAUAGCGCCCUCCCCCAGCCAGGUUCCCUUCCCCACCCUGGGCAGUGCAGUGAAAAGCGCCUGAGCCUCGCCGCGCCCCGCCCCCGCCCCCGCCCCAACCCCAACCCCAAGGAAAGGACUAGGGGUGCUCUCCCCACGCCCCUCCGCCUGGUCCCCACAAGCAGCCACAGUCCCAGCCUCCGCACCCGCCCUGUUCUGGAACCGCUCCGGAGGCUUGGGUGGUGGGGGGCAUAGGGCACAAAGCGCCUUUUGAGCCCCGCGCCUCGGGGACGCCCCCGCCCAGGCCGAGGGAGGGGAUCCAAGGCAUGAGGCUUUGCCCUCUGGGGCCUGGGAAAGGUCCUGGGGCCAGCCAGGUUGGGGGAGGGGGCGUCAGAGCCCAGUAGUCUCCCUGGAAUCCGGCGGCGGCGGCGGCGGCGGCGGCGGCGGCGGCGGCGGCGGCGGCGGCGGCGGCGGCGGCGGCGGCGGCGGCGGCGGCGGCGGCGGCGGCGGCGGCGGCGGCGGCGGCGGCGGCGGCGGCGGC
rnacentral:lncRNA from 1 species